AUUGAACGCUGGCGGCAGGCUUAACACAUGCAAGUCGAGCGGAGAUGAGGUGCUUGCACCUUAUCUUAGCGGCGGACGGGUGAGUAAUGCUUAGGAAUCUGCCUAUUAGUGGGGGACAACAUUCCGAAAGGAAUGCUAAUACCGCAUACGCCCUACGGGGGAAAGCAGGGGAUCUUCGGACCUUGCGCUAAUAGAUGAGCCUAAGUCGGAUUAGCUAGUUGGUGGGGUAAAGGCCUACCAAGGCGACGAUCUGUAGCGGGUCUGAGAGGAUGAUCCGCCAGACUGGGACUGAGACACGGCCCGGACUCCUACGGGAGGUAGCAGUGGGGAAUAUUGGACAAUGGGCGGAAGCCUGAUCCAGCCAUGCCGCGUGUGUGAAGAAAGCCUUUUGGUUGUAAAGCACUUUAAGCGAGGAGGAGGCUACUGAGACUAAUACUCUUGGAUAGUGGACGUUACUCGCAGAAUAAGCACCGGCUAACUCUGUGCCAGCCGCCGCAGUAACAC
rnacentral:rRNA from 1 species